rnacentral:rRNA from 1 species
AUGGAGGUUCCUUCAGUGGAUCCGGGUGAAAACCUAGUUCUCGGCUUGAUGCCAAGACCGGCGUUGGCGGCAUCCUUUUGUGUCAUUACCUUCUUGAAGGCAUCGCCGUGGAGAAGCUCCAGACCUCUAUCCGCUAUCUCCGGAGCGGCUUUUUUUUGGUGGACCGAUGCUUCAUCCUGCACAUUGAUGACGACGGAUCUCGGCGGCGUGGUGCAGUGGAGACUCGGCGCCCGAUGCGCGGUGCUAGACUCGCGCAUGAGGGGGUUGCUGUCUGGCGUCAUGGUGUCGUCGAUGGCAGAGUGGCCUGACAAGGUAGAAGCCUCAAUAUCUGCUCUGAAGACGGACCAGUGGAAGAUGGCGGCGACGACACAUGUGAGUGCGUCAGACCAGUUCUGCCCCAGACCUGGUACGUGGCUCGACUGGGGCUUCUGGCUUUUGAUGAUAGGCUUAGGUGAGUGGAUUGGGUAUAUGGCCCAGCUAGCGCCCCUUCAUCAUAUGGAUAGGAGUAGGGGCAUAUGA